rnacentral:tRNA from 1 species
GCACAGUCAGCUCAGUAGAUAGAGCAUGAGACCCUUAAUCUCAGAGUUGUGGGUUCAAGCCUGCAGUGGGCA